AAGAAUUAUUUUAUUAUGUUUUUUAUUUUAUUAUUUUUAAUAAAAAUAUUUUUUAUUUUAGUAUUUUUGAAUAAAUAUUAUUUAAUUAUAGUUAAUUUUACUGUGAAGGAUUAUUUUUAUUUUAUAAAAAAGUAUUUUUUGUUUGAAGUACCUUUUGCAUCAGGGUUUAUUAAAAUAUUAAAAUAAUUUUUUUUUCUCGAAAUUUUAAGAUUUAAGAUUAAAUGUUAGUUUUUGUUACAAAAUAAUUUAUAAUUUUUUCUUAGAGGUUAUAUGCUUUUCAUUUAAAAUGAUAUCUAGUUCACUAAUAUUUGAAUUUAAUUCAUUUUUAAUAUUGCUUUAUUUUAAUUUUAUUAUUUAAAGUUUAUUAAUUAAAGAUUUAUGGGGAUAAGCUCAUAUUUUUUAUUAAAAAUUUUUGUUUUAUUAAAUUUUUUGUAGGAUUAAUAAUUUCCAUCUUUAUUUUGUUAUAAUUAUUUUUUUAUUUUAAUGAUUUUUUAUUAUUUUAAUUUUUUAUUAGUGUUUUUAUUAUAAUUUUAUAUAUUGAUUAAUAAUGAUAUAAUUAGUAAUUUUUAUAAUUUGAGAAUAGUAAUUCGGCAAAUUUUAUUUUCACCUGUUUAACAAAAACAUGUUCUUUUGAUUUUAAUUUAAGAUCAGGCCUGCCCAUUGAUUUUUUUGAAUUAAAAGGCUGCGGUAUUUUAACUGUACGAAGGUAGCAUAAUCAUUUGUCUUUUAAUUGAAGGCUAGUAUGAAUGGUUUGAUGAAAAAUAAACUUUCUUUUUUCAAUUGUUUUGAAUUUAAUUUUUUAGUUAAAAAGCUAGAAUUUUUUUAUAGGACGAGAAGACCCUAUAGAAGUUAACUUUAUUUAUUAAUUUUUAUUUUUUGUUAAUUAAAUAAUUUUUUAGAAUAUAAAGUUUUGUUGGGGUGACAUUGAAAUUUAUUUAACUUUUAAUAUUUUUGUUCAUUAAUUUAUGUUUUUUUGAUCCAAAAUUUUUGAUUAUAAGAUUAACUUACCUUAGGGAUAACAGCGUAAUUUUUUCGGAGAGUUCAUAUCGAUGAAAAAGUUUGCGACCUCGAUGUUGAAUUAAGAUAAGAUUUGGGUGUAAAAUUUCAAUUUUCUUGGUCUGUUCGACCA
rnacentral:rRNA from 1 species